rnacentral:rRNA from 1 species
GACAGAGGGUGCAACCGUUGUUCGGAUUUACUGGGCGUAAAGCGCGUGUAGGCGGCUUCGCAAGUUGGAUGUGAAAGCCCACGGCUCAACCGUGGAAGCGCAUCCAAAACUGCGUCGCUAGAGUCUCGGAGAGGAAGGUGGAAUGCUUGGUGUAGAGGUGAAAUUCGUAGAUAUCAAGCAGAACACCUGCGGCGAAGGCGGCCUUCUGGACGAUGACUGACGCUGAGACGCGAAAGCCAGGGGAGCAAACGGG